rnacentral:rRNA from 1 species
GACGAACGCUGACGGCAUGCUUAACACAUGCAAGUCGACCGGAACUGCCCUUCUUUUGUCGGAUGCUCGAGUGACGCACAGAGGACUAACCUCACAGCUACCUGCAACUGACUUAGGCGUAACUUAAGACCACUUGGGCUAAUACCAGAUCGUAGCACCUGUAUCAUGGCGAUGGUCGGAAAGUUUCGGCGGUUGGUGAUGGACUCGCGGCUUAUCGGUUUGAUUGUGGGGUAGCGGCUUACCAAGGCUGGGCCGGGUAGGCGGCCUGCGAGGGUGACCGGCCAAAAUGGGACUGGGGUACGGCCCAGACUCCUACGGGGGGCAGCAGUGGGGAAUUUUGCACAAUGGGCGGAAGCCUGAGGCAGAAACGCCGCGUGCGGGAUAACGGGCUUCGGGUUGUAUACCGCGUUUUCCGGUGACGAGAAGUGAGUGACGGUAAUGGGUAAAGAAGCACCGGCUAACUACGUG